rnacentral:rRNA from 1 species
CCUACGGGUGGCAGCAGUGGGGAAUAUUGCACAAUGGGGGAAACCCUGAUGCAGCGACGCCGCGUGAGUGAAGAAGUAUUUCGGUAUGUAAAGCUCUAUCAGCAGGGAAGAAAUAAAGUCCUUCGGACUUUGGACGGUACCUGACUAAGAAGCCCCGGCUAACUACGUGCCAGCAGCCGCGGUAAUAGGUGGGGGGCAAGCGUUAUCCGGUUUUACUGGGUGAAAAGGGAGCGGAGACGGCAGCGAAAGUCUGGGGUGAAAUCCCAUGGCUUACCCAUGGAACUGCUUUGGAAACUGGGCAGCUGGAGUGAAGGAGGGGUAAGCGGAAUUCCGGGUGUAGCGGUGAAAUGCG